rnacentral:rRNA from 1 species
CUGCUCUCCGCCAGAGGACUACAAGUGAAAAACUUCAAACUCAAAGGACUUGGCGGUGUCCCAUAUCGACCUAGAGGAGCCUGUCCUAUAAUCGAUACCCCCCGCUCUACCUAACCUCAACUAGCACCCCACAGCCUAUAUACCGCCGUCGACAGUCUACCCCAUGAGGGCCCAACAGUAGACACAAUAGCCCAACCGCUAGCACGUCAGGUCAAGGUGUAGCACAUGUUGAGGAAGAGAUUGGCUACAUUUUUUACAUUAAAAAACACGAAAUGCAACAUGAAACCCUGCAUGAAGGUGAAUUUAGUAGUAAGAUCUAAUGAGAGUAUUUAUCUUAACAACGCUCUGGGACGCGCACACACCGCCCGUCA